rnacentral:rRNA from 1 species
GAUGAACGCUGGCGGCGUGCCUAAUACAUGCAAGUCGAGCGAACAGAUGAGGAGCUUGCUCCUCUGACGUUAGCGGCGGACGGGUGAGUAACACGUGGAUAACCUACCUAUAAGACUGGGAUAACUUCGGGAAACCGGCGCUAAUACCGGAUAAUAUAUUGAACCGCAUGGUUCAAUAGUGAAAGACGGUUUUGCUGUCACUUAUAGAUGGAUCCGCGCCGCAUUAGCUAGUUGGUAAGGUAACGGCUUACCAAGGCAACGAUGCGUAGCCGACCUGAGAGGGUGAUCGGCCACACUGGAACGGAGACGCGGUCCAGACUCCUACGGGAGGCAGCAGUAGGGAAUCUUCCGCAAUGGGCGAAAGCCUGACGGAGCAACGCCGCGUGAGUGAUGAAGGUCUUCGGAUCGUAAAACUCUGUUAUUAGGGAAGAACAAAUGUGUAAGUAACUAUGCACGUCUUGACGGUACCUAAUCAGAAAGCCACGGCUAACUACGUG